UAUCAGAGCUGGGAGCUGAUAUUGAACACCCACAUUCCCUGGCUUCGUAAAUUUUGUAUCAUUACUGGUUUUGUGCAUAUUUUCAGGGGGUUUUUCCCCAGUUGAGGCUUACAGCACGGACUCGAUUCGUGAGUUCCAACAAUACUGAGCGUACGAGUAAUAUUGGCAGAACAAAUGGUGGCAGAAAAGACGCUUGCAGGGAAGCACCAACUGCUGAUUGCAACGUUUAAAAACUCGGCGAAAAUCGGUAAACGAAACUCCGUGCCAAUAACUCAUCAAGAAGCAUGAUGAUGGAUAAGAAUAACAUAGCACGAUGCGGGGAAUUACAAGCGGCAGAUAAUGGAACAAAGCUUCUGCUCUCGACACACUAGCUCAGGAAGAUUGUGAAUAAUCGCUUGAUGAAAAUGCAAAGGUUAAAUUUGGAAACCUCAGUUUUUAAGAAGCUUUUAUAAAUACUUGUGUCCGGAGUAAAUUCGAGUGAAAAAGUGUUGGCCGGAUGGAAUCGCAUUUACAGCGGAGUCUCAUAUUGAAAAGGAACGUUUAUCAAUCUUUACGUUUAUGCGUUUUCCACCUCACAUAAUUUAAACGUCCGAUUAAGCGAGAAAUGAAAAGGGGAUGAAGAGAAAGAGAAAAGCAGGAGGAAGCCCGCUCGUGAAAUGCGAACAUUUAAUGGGCUUUCCAUUCUCGCUUUAAUUAAGGGAUUUAACGGAGUACGAAAGUGAAGAUAACCGAGGGACGGAUCACUUGUGUAUAUCACAAGUGCUUAUAUGUUUAUAUAGAAAUUUGCGAGGAAAUUUGGGAUCAAUAUUCUCGUGCUUUUCGAAGCUUUACGACCAAAGUGAAAUCGUGCUUUCGGAUUUUCGUGCUUAUCGACGAACGUGCCCACCGUGGCAAACCGUAAAAGAGACAAGAGCAGCAUUACCAAAUAACAACAUUUCAUCAACUCAGUGUCAUCCUCGAAUACCGAAACGCUUAGGCGUGGAACAUCGAAUAACUAAGCCGACGAUUCACCGUCCACAUUUCCUAGAAUUUCUUUGUCUUUCAGACUUUCCUCGAGCAUUGAAAAAUCAGUUCUGAUAUAAACUGAAAGUGAGGCAAACAAAAAUCCAAAAUCGACGUGCUUCCACCCACUGAAAACCACAAAUCGCCGUUUUAAAUAUACAAUUUGUUUGUCCAGUCGCAAUAGUUUAUAAUUUUUAUCUAUUUUGUGAUUGAAGCUGUACCAUCGUAAGAAACAAUAAAUUAUAAAUAACAAUUUGA